GGAGGGAUAGCUCAGUGGUAGAGCCUGUGCUUAGCAUGCAUGAGGUCCUAAGUUCAAUCCCCAAUACCUCCA
rnacentral:tRNA from 1 species